GUGCCCUGCUAGUGAUGAAGCUUGAGUUGGUAGGGACAUCUGAGUGCUGAUGAACGCCAACGGCUCUGAUGGCGGCGC
rnacentral:snoRNA from 1 species